CUAAUACUCCCUCCAUCCAACAAAGGAUGUCUCAAAUUUGACCAAAUUUGAAUGCAUCUAUACACUAAGUCAUGUCUAGAUACAUCCAAAUUUUGACAAACUUGAGACAUCUUUUGUUGGACGGAGGAAGUAGGAA
rnacentral:pre_miRNA from 1 species